UACGUAGGGACCGAGCGUUGUCCGGAAUCAUUGGGCGUAAAGAGCGUGUAGGCGGCCCCUUAAGUCCUGCGUGAAAUCCUGCGGCUCAACCGCAGACGGUCGUGGGAAACUGGAGGGCUAGAGUUCGGUAGAGGAGGGCGGAAUUCCAGGUGUAGCGGUGAAAUGCGUAGAUAUCUGGAGGAACACCCGUGGCGAAGGCGGCUCUCUGGUCCGAUACUGACGCUGAGGCGCGAAAGCUAGGGUAGCAAACAGG
rnacentral:rRNA from 1 species